GGCUGGGAUUAGAGGUGUGAGCCACCGCACCCAUCCAUUUAAAACUAAUUGAGCACAACCAGUUACUAAUAUCUUUGUUCCUUCUGCACUGCCUCUGCUUCACUUCACUAGCCUAAA
ensembl:misc_RNA Y_RNA Y RNA